UUCGCAAUGCCCGAAAGGGUGACAAUGCGACGUCGCGUGUGUGAUGAAGGUCUUCGGAUUGUAAAACACUGUCGGCUGGGAGGAAUCUCUGGAGGUUGAAUAAACCUGCAGGGUGACAGUACCAGCAGAGGAAGCCACGGCUAACUCCGUGCCAGCAGCCGCGGUAAUACGGAGGUGGCAAGCGUUACUCGGAUUGAUUGGGUGUAAAGGGCGUGUAGGCGGUACGUUAAGUCGAGUGUGAAAUCCCUUGGCUCAACCAAGGAACUGCAUUCGAAACUGACGUACUUGAGGACGGUAGGGGAGAGUGGAACUCCUGGUGUAGCGGUGAAAUGCGUAGAUAUCAGGAGGAACGCCGGUGGCGAAAGCGACUCUCUGGGCCGCUCCUGACACUGAGUGCGCGAGAGCUAGGGGAGCAAACAGGAUUAGAUACCCUGGUAGUCCUAGCUGUAAACGAUGGGCACUAAGUAGAGGGGUUUU
rnacentral:rRNA from 1 species